CGCUGCACUCCACCCUGGUGACAGAGUGAGACUCCGUCUCAAGAAGAAAAAAAAAAAGUUAAAAGAGAAAUAGGCACAAAAAAAGGUAUCCAGGUAUGUCUAAGUAUUUUAUUUGUGGGGCAAAAAAAGAUACCCAGGGAAUCAUUAUUGAACAAAAAGACAAACCUAAGGGAAAAAUUAUUUUUCAUAAAUUUAAGUUUAGAAAAGUUUCUUUAAUGAUAAAAUAAUCAACUCCCUUCUCACAAUGGAAAGUUCUACAUGAUCUUAAGGACCAAAAUAUCAUGAUCUGAAAAGCAAUAUGGAAAGUUAUUUGCAGUACAAACUAUCACAUUUACUUAAAAAGCAGCUGAAGUUGCUUUUUUCCAGGUAUAUAGGUAACAUUUCACACCAUUCAAUACUACCUUCCUUUUGUGAAACAUUUUCUUCUGAUGGCUUCCAGAAUACCAGCCUCCUGAUUUUUCUUCUAGGUCACUGGUGGGUCCUUCUCAGUCUUUUGCUGGUUCCUCUUCUCCUCUACUUCUCAAUGCUGGCAUACCUUAGGUCUCUGUCUUUUGCUACCUUCUCUUCUCUAGCUGUACUAGGUGAUCUCAUCCAAAGUCAUGGUUAUUCCCUAAUGACUCCCAAAUUAAUUUUCUAGUCCCAAAUUGUACUCUGAAGUCCAGACUUGGAUAUCCAAUUGCCUACACAGCAUUUCCAACCUAACAUAGCCAAAACAGAAUUUAAUCUCAGAGUUCACCCAAUUGACAGGUCAAAAAUCUGAGUCAUCCUUUACUCCUCUCCUUUUCCUCCUCAUAUCCAAGCUAUCAGCAGACAUUAUCUUCUCUACUUACAAAACAGAGUCUGAAUCCAACCUCUAACCCCUCCCACCUCAACAUUUAUCACACUUGUCCAAAACUGUUACCUAGGACACUAUAAUAACCUAACCAGUCUCUGCUUUCCUCUUUAAUCUUCUUCAGUCUAACCUUGACAUUGUAGCUCCAUAUUUCAUAAAGGUAAAUCAAAUUAUGUCACUCCUCUUCUCAAUCUAAUUGCUUCCCAUUUACAUAUCCAUGCCAGGCUAUAAGGACCUGGCUUUCUUCCUUAUGUCACUUCUUACCAUUCUUCUCUCUUAAUCACUAUGCUGUAACCUUACUGGCCUCUUUGUUAUUCCUCAAACAUGCCAAGUAAGUUAACAUUUUAGGGCCUUUUCACUUGUUUUUUACCUUUGUCCAGAAUGCUCUUUCCCCAAAUAUUUAUAUGACUCAUAUGCUUACUUCACUGGGGCCUCUGCAUAUGUCAUCUCUUCAAACAGGCUUUCCCAAACCAUCUUAUCUAAAGUUUCAACCCUCUCCACAUUCUGUCCCAGUGGGAUUCAUCCCGGGAUGCAAAGAUGAUUCAGUAUACACAAAUCAGUAAAUGUGAUAUAUCAUGUUAACAGAAUGAAGGACAAAAGCCAUAUGAUAAUCUCAAAAGAUACAAAAAAAGCAUUUGACAAAAUUCAACACAUUGUAUCCCUAUUCCCUGCCCUUUCUUUAUAGCAUUUGAUAUAUGUUAUUGUCUGUCUUCUCCAUUGGAAUGUAAACUCCAUAAAAACAGGUACUUUGGGCUGGGUGCAAUGGCUCACACCUCUAAUCCCAACACUUUGGGAGGCCAAGGCGGGUUGAUCACUUGAGAUCAAGAGUUCAAGUCCAGCCUGGUCAACAUGACGGAACCCUGUCUCUACUAAAAAUACAAAAAUUGGCUGGGCGUGGUGGUAGGCACCUGUAAUCCCAGCUACUCGGGAGGCUGAGGCAGAGAACUGCUUGAAC
rnacentral:lncRNA from 1 species